AAACUAUUGGUCGGGGUCACGAACCUAUUGAAUUGCACUGACCAAUCAUAGAAUUUACUGAUUAUAUCAUCAUCAUAAGUUGAGAUAGUUGUAGGUCAAGGACUAUUCAUAUGUUUACUCUAAAAGAAUUAAAUAUUUUAGGUAAAUGCUUGACAAUUGAUAUUUAUGAAUAUAAUAUUAUAAUGAAAAACUAUUGUCUAUUAUAUUUAAAAUAUCCUAGCUAAAUAAAUGAAUAAUAUAUUCAUGUUAUCUCUGUUGUUUAUAUAUUUUUCUAUUUAAAAAAAUUGAAUUAAUACAAAAAUUCAACAAUAUUAAGGUGACCAACCGUCCUCCUUUAGGGAGGACAGUCCUCCUUUUAUAAGGUCUGUCCUUCCUCAAAAAAUGUCCUCCUUCAUGUCCUCUUUUUUGAUAUUUGAAGACUACUCUGUAAAUCUCUGUGACUAAUGUGAUGUGCUGUAUUAAAUCUCUAUGGACGGAAGUAUUUGUACUAUUUGUAUUUGGCAUGACAAUUCGUCAAGGCUCAGAACAGUGAGCAUGCGCUAUGCACAGAUCAUCUUGAGAGAGAGGGCGCCAUACAUAAAUGGCUUUGUUUACUUCUUACCAAAACACGACACAGCACGUACUAACAUAAGAUCUAGAGUCCUGACUGGGAAAGCCUAUUAUCAAAAACAGAGAGAGAAGGAGGUUACCACUAAAUACUAACUUGACACAUGUCACUUAAAAAUUUUGCCACUUAUAAGUAAUUAUAAGUAAUGUUUCGGAUUACUUCGACGAGGAA
rnacentral:lncRNA from 1 species